UAAAUCAUAUUUUAUAUUGAAAUAAGGCAGAAAACAGUCAAUGGAAUGGCAACACCCUUGAGUCUCCCUCUCCUACAGACAUUCUGAAGACACUUGAGUUGUAAGAAAUACAAUUCUGGAGUAUUUUCUCUUUUAAAAUCACAUUCAGCACGAGAGAGACAUGAAGAGGGGCCUCAUGACUAGUAUAUUGAUGACUUAUUUGAAUACAAGUCGUGCACCCUGCCAUGCAGCUACAUUCGUCUAACUGAAGCACCAGGAGCUUUGAGUGAACCCAGCUGGUUAAGUGAUGAGAGGGACGUAACGCAACAUCUCAGACCAAUAACGGGGAAUAGAGCACCAAGAUGGAUCUCUUGCUGGGUUUGGCUCCUGCCACCCAGGGCUUAAUGUCAGUCAACUAAUAGGAGUGCUAAUGUAAGCUGCACGGCUAAAAGAGGAAUUGAUAACUUCUAACAGCUCCUUCCAAGUGCCAGAUGGAGACGAUAAGACAGGAGGAGGAGCCCCUCAGGGACAGUGAAGAAGAGCCAGUACCAAGAGCCAGCCAGGAGAUCAUAACUCCAGAGUGGGCUGCGCAGUUAAUGCCUACAGUGAAAUGGUACAUACUAUAGUAUGUUGCAGAUAGUUGGUCUGAAAAGAGAGAAACAGGUAGGAAGUCUGGCAGUCUGACAAUUUUAAGCAGAACUGCACUGUUGUGAUAAUGAGAUAAACUAUCCCAAAGUAAGACAGGAGGCUACGGUCCACAUUCAGGGACCUGAAACCAGAAGAGCGCUAUCCAAAGCAGCUCUUCCUGGGCCGGGCUGAGUUGAUGGAGUGCUUGAAGAAGGCAUCAUCUUCCAGAGUGGCUCAGGAUUUCAUCAAUUGGAGGGCCAUGCCAGGGACUUUGCAUGCAGAUGGCAUCAGACUGAAAAUAAAGAUCAAAGACAAGAGAAAUCCCAUUUGUUCCACUCCCUAUGUAAUGCCAAGGCUUUAGGAGAAUCUGCCUGCUCGAUUUCUGGGCUCAGAAAGAGGAGCUGAAUGUGAGAUGUGGCUGGCACAGAUGGCAGCACCUGAUAUC